AGAUGGCGACCGGCGCACGGGUGAGUAACACGUAUCCAACCUGCCGAUAACUCGGGGAUAGCCUUUCGAUAGAAAGAUUAAUACCCGAUGGCAUAAUAGAACCGCAUGGUUUGAUUAUUAAAGAAUUUCGGUUAUCGAUGGGGAUGCGUUCCAUUAGGCAGUUGGUGGGGUAACGGCCCACCAAACCUUCGAUGGAUAGGGGUUCUGAGAGGAAGGUCCCCCACAUUGGAACUGAGACACGGUCCAA
rnacentral:rRNA from 1 species